UACGUAGGCAGCGAGCGUUGUUCGGAGUUACUGGGCGUAAAGCGUGCGCAGGCGGUGAUGUAAGACCGAUGUGAAAUCCCCGGGCUUAACCUGGGAACUGCAUUGGUGACUGCAUCGCUCGAGUAUGGCAGAGGGGGGUAGAAUUCCACGUGUAGCAGUGAAAUGCGUAGAGAUGUGGAGGAAUACCGAUGGCGAAGGCAGCCCCCUGGGUCAAUACUGACGCUCAUGCACGAAAGCGUGGGGAGCAAACAGG
rnacentral:rRNA from 1 species